rnacentral:rRNA from 1 species
GACGAACGCUGGCGGCGUGCUUAACACAUGCAAGUCGAACGGAAAGGCCCUGCUUUCGUGGGGUGCCCGAGUGGCGAACGGGUGAGUAACACGUGAGUAACCUGCCCUAGUCUUUGGGAUAACUUCAGGUAACUGGGCCUACUACCGUACAGGAGACGCUGUUGCAUGGUGGGGGUUGGAACGUCUCGGCGGUUGGGGAUGGACUCGCGGCUUACCAGCUUGUUGGUUGGGGAGUGGCUUACCAAGGCUUUGACGGGUAGCCGGCCUGAGAGGGUGGACGGCGACAUGGGGACUGAGGUACGCCGCAGACUCCUACAGGAGGCAGCGGGGGGGAAUAUUGCACAAUGGGCGGGAGCCUGAUACAACGACGCCGCGGGCGGAAUGACGGCCUGCGGGUAGUGAACAGCUGUCGCCUGUUACGAAGCGGGUGUGACGGUAAUGGGUAAAGAAGCACCGGCUAACUACGUG